CUCGUAGGCGGUUCGGCAAGUCGGAUGUGAAAUCUCCACGCUUAACGUGGAGGGGCCAUUCGAAACUGCUGUGACUCGAGUCCGGUAGGGGAGUGUGGAAUUCCCGGUGUAGCGGUGAAAUGCGCAGAUAUCGGGAGGAACACCAGUAGCGAAGGCGGCACUCUGGGCCGGUACUGACGCUGAGGAGCGAAAGCGUGGGGAGCGAACA
rnacentral:rRNA from 1 species